GAUGAACGCUGGCGGCGUGCUUAACACAUGCAAGUCGAACGGAAAGGCUCCUGCUUGCAGGGGUACUCGAGUGGCGAACGGGUGAGUAACACGUGGGUGAUCUGCCCUGCACUUCGGGAUAAGCCUGGGAAACUGGGUCUAAUACCGGAUAGGACGAUGGUUUGGAUGCCAUUGUGGAAAGUUUUUCGGUGUGGGAUGAGCUCGCGGCCUAUCAGCUUGUUGGUGGGGUAAUGGCCUACCAAGGCGUCGACGGGUAGCCGGCCUGAGAGGGUGUACGGCCACAUUGGGGCUGAGAUACGGCCCAGACUCCUACGGGAGGCAGCAGUGGGGAAUAUUGCACAAUGGGCGCAAGCCUGAUGCAGCGACGCCGCGUGGGGGAUGACGGCCUUCGGGUUGUAAACUCCUUUCGCUAGGGACGAAGCGCAAGUGACGGUACCUGGAGAAGAAGCACCGGCUAACUACGU
rnacentral:rRNA from 1 species